GACGAACGCUGGCGGCGUGCUUAACACAUGCCAGUCGAACGGAAAGGCCCUGCUUUUGUGGGGUGCUCGAGUGGCGAACGGGUGAGUAACACGUGAGUAACCUGCCCUUGACUUUGGGAUAACUUCAGGAAACUGGGGCUAAUACCGGAUAGGAGCUCCUGCUGCAUGGUGGGGGUUGGAAAGUUUCGGCGGUUGGGGAUGGACUCGCGGCUUAUCAGCUUGUUGGUGGGGUAGUGGCUUACCAAGGCUUUGACGGGUAGCCGGCCUGAGAGGGUGACCGGCCACAUUGGGACUGAGAUACGCCCCAGACUCCUACGGGAGGCAGCAGUGGGGAAUAUUGCACAAUGGGCGGAAGCCUGAUGCAGCAACGCCGCGUGCGGGAUGACGGCCUUCGGGUUGUAAACCGCUUUCGCCUGUGACGAAGCGUGAGUGACGGUAAUGGGUAAAGAAGCACCGGCUAACUACGUG
rnacentral:rRNA from 1 species